GCCUUCGUGGUGUAGUGGUCAGCGCGCUCGGCGCGUAUCGAGAAGUCCGUGGUUCGAGUCCCGGCGAGGGCA
rfam:Stegodyphus mimosarum contig73836, whole genome shotgun sequence.